rnacentral:rRNA from 1 species
CUACGGGGGGCGGCAGUGGGGAAUAUUGGACAAUGGGCGAAAGCCUGAUCCAGCCAUGCCGCGUGAGUGAUGAAGGCCUUAGGGUUGUAAAGCUCUUUCAGUAGGGAAGAUAAUGACGGUACCUACAUAAGAAGCCCCGGCUAACUUCGUGCCAGCAGCCCCGGUC